UUAUACCUCAUCGAUUGGAAGGAUUUCCUUCAGAUCAAUGAGGUAUAACAACCCCAUUGACUGGAAGGAAUUCCUUCCGAUCGAUGAGGUGGAA
rnacentral:miRNA from 1 species